AUACCGGCGAGCCCAUCCUUUCUCCCCCACACAUCGAGCUAAAAGCUCUUUCCCUUCUCUCUCCCAGCCAUAACCGGCUAUUGCCGCCACCGCCCGAUCUCCCUCACCAGAGCUCCACUAACCAAAUCCUCGCGCCAUUGGCUUCGCCUCGACGAGGUGAUUCCAUUUUUCCCCUUUCCCCUCUCCCUCCACCUUGAGAUAAACCGCCACCACCACCUUCUCUUAUCGCCGGAGUUGAGCUCCUGCCGUCGCUGUUCCGGCCAUCUCCCUCUCCACCUAGCUAGCUACCACCCUCCCCGGAUGCGCGUCGCUCGGGAACAUGUUUUGCCGCCGACGUCGCAGCCUAUCGACCACCGGAGCACCAGCGCCCCUUUCUCCCUCUCUUCUCCCUUCUCUCGGCUCUCUGUGAAGCGGGAGGAAGAAGAAGACGAGAAGAAGAGAAAGAAGAGAAAAGGGAAUAGGCACUGACAGAGUCAUUUUGGAGUUCUUGCCGAAGCUGGAAGUUCAAUCAUAUAAGUUAAUCUCAUUUUAACUUAGUUCUCAAGUAUAGAUUAGAUAGAUGGUUUAACUCUAUAGCAAAACACUAGAGUUAUGUCAUCGUAUAGCUUCUGCUGUAAUAGUUAGCCACAAGUUUGUAAAUACCCUAUUAUUUUAUGUAAAGGAAUCUCCUUUAAAACCUUGAUCAAAUGUAUGCAAUGAAGAUCCAGAUCGUUGAACCUAUAUCAA